rnacentral:rRNA from 1 species
GGACUACCGGGGUUUCUAAUCCUGUUUGCUCCCCACGCUUUCGCGCCUCAGCGUCAGAACCGGGCCAGAGAGCCGCCUUCGCCACCGGUGUUCUUCCCAAUAUCUACGAAUUUCACCUCUACACUGGGAAUUCCACUCUCCUCUCCCGGUCUCAAGCCCGCCCGUUUCAAGCGCACCUCCCAGGUUGAGCCCAGGGCUUUCACGCCUGACGCAACAGACCGCCUACGCGCCCUUUACGCCCAGUAAUUCCGAACAACGCUAGCCCCCUCCGUAUUACCGCGGCUGCUGGCAC